CUCGGGAAAAAGCGUCCCCUGUUGGAGGGCGCAUGCGCGCGCCAUUAGCCGCGCAGCCGUUGACGUCGGCACGAAGCCGGGCGCUCGGGGCGUCGCGUCCCGUGGUAGUUGGGGACAGCUGUCGUUCGCCGCGGGUCUGGGGUUCCUCUCAUCUUCCGGCAUUGGCGUGUCCCGGCUCUUCGCCGUAUUCUGGAAUAUGCGAUGCUGGAUGUACAAACCUUAUAAAUAUACUAAAAAUCACUUUCACACUUGAAAAGGGUAAGAUCUAUGAUAUUUAUAGCUCAAAAAGAAUUCCAAUGGCAUAAUAUUCUGUGAUGGAAUUUGUGGUGGAAUGAGAAGGCCAUGCCAAGAUGGCCACAGGCAACGGAAACUGCCUGGCAACAGGCUGUGAUUGGUUAGGGCAUAGACCACCCCUUGACCAGAUUGGCUGCCUUAGGCUCUAUAAGCUGCUAUACCAACUGAAAUAAAUGAGUCUUCCAGCUGCUCGCAUCUGGCCUGCUUUCACCCACACCUGAGGUCUGUGUGGUGACUCCACACCUCUUGCCCCCACCACCAUCCUCCUCUCAGAAUGGAUCCACAGCAACAUCUGGCACCCAAGGAAUUGUUAUAAAAACGUGCUAGUGGUGGGCUUAUUUUCAUAGGCAUUGGGUUUUUGUUUUUGUUUUUUUUUUUUUACAAAAUUACAUGUCUGUAACUUCUCUUUGUCUCACUGGGAGAAAUAUGAUUUUGACAUUGCCCGUGACACAAAGAAAUGUAUGGGAAGCAAUAUGUUACUACCACCGAAACCAAAAACUGCCAGUAUUUUAGAGUCCUCGAAAUUCUUCCCAAAGCCACUUCGUGUCCUCACUGACUCUAUCCAGCCAUCCUAAUGCUUCCCCUGAAUUCUAACUAACCCCUUGUACUUGGGGCAAUCAAAGAUGAAAAUGUCUCUACUUUGGCUUUACUUUUGUAAAAAAUUUAUAUUCAUGCUCUAUGAAAGGCAGACAGAGAUGUCCCAUCCAUUGGUUCACUCCCUAAAUGCCCACGACAGGCAGGCUGGGCCAGACUGAAGCCAGGAGCCCAGAACUCAAUGCAGGCCUCCCACAUGGUUGGCAUUAAUAGGAAGCUGGAAUCAAAGGUGGAGCCAGGCUGUGGAGUAGUGGGUAAAGCUGCCGCCUGCAGUGCUGGCAUUCUGUAUGGGCGCUGGUUGGAGUCCCGGCUACUCCACUUGUGAUCCAGCUCUCUGCUAUGGCCUGGGAAAGCAGUAGAAGAUGCUCCAAGUCCUUGGGUCCCUGUAUUCAUGUGGGAGACCCAGAAGAAGCUCCUGGCUCCUGGCUCCUGGCUUCAGAUUGGCCCAGCUCUGGCCGUUGUAGCCAUCUGGGAGUGAACCAGCAGAUGGAAGACCUCUCUCUCUCUCUCUCUCUCUGUGCCUCUGCCACUGCUUCUGCCUCUCUGUAACUCUCAAAUAAAUACAUUUUUUGAAAAAGUCUUAAGAAACAAAAGUAGAGCCAGGCCUUGAUCCCAGGCACUCAGAUAUGGGACACAGCCCCUGGUGGCAACUUAACCACCAUACUAAGUGCCUAUCCCCAGAAUUUCCACUUUGGCUGUGGUGUUGGCCAAGUUCACACUGUUGAAAUGCUGGGUCCCUAAGGAAAGACUGUCAAUUUUUAAUUCUGUUUGUUAGAGAGGUGGGAGUGGGGGCAGAAGCUGGAGGAGAACUCAACCGGCGCUCCCGUGUGGGUGGCACUUGAAAUGUGCCUGCUGCCUCCCAGGAGCCAUGUCAGCAUGAAGUGGAGUCAGGAAUGAAACCCACUCGCUCUAAUACGGGACAUGGGUGUGUCUUAGCCACGGGCUUCUCAUCUGCCUGAGCGCCAGUUCCGAGAGGGCUAAGCAAGAGCACCAGGUUAGGGGUAAAGACGAGGAAGAACUGGCCUGGGGAAUGGCGUGGAGUCCUUAAGCAAAAACUUGGGCGAAACUUCAGCAGGGAGAUCGGAUCUGGGACAGAUGGGAGGACAGAGGUGCAGGCCACCCACCUGCAGCUGAGCUCCAGGGAGAGGGGACAGCCCUUGGUCAGAGAAGCCAGCCCCUUCUCAGGGGGGAGGGCGCCAGAGAGGCACACCUGGGGCUCGGCGGUGUGCCCCCGCUGAGCCUUCCCUUCAGAACUCCUGUUUGGACAGACAUUCUCAUGAGCUAACCCCGAAAAGAGUUGGUACAAACCAGCGUCUCCUCUCCUUGUGAUGUACGGAAGAGCCCAGGAUUCUCAACACCUGUCUCCCUCGUGCUCCCACUCUUAGCAGCAGGUAGCCAGAGCUGAGAUUCACACCGCCCUCCAAGAGUGGGUCCCGCCUGCACACACCCACAUGCACACCAGCUUUAGCCAUGUCCUUUUAUUGAGCCAUUUGUAUGGGAAUAGUGAUCAGGGAGUUGUCACACCCCACCACGGGGCCCUGCCACGGAGGAGGCGGGCUCAGCAGUUGCUGGGUUAGUAGCUUGGGUAGUUGCUGGGGUAGUUGUCCCAGUGCAGGCCAAUGGCGUUGACGAAUAAGCCAGCUCGGCCACUGAUGAAUCGGAGCACGGUGUUUGGGUGCAAGGGGACAGCGUUGAAGCUCGUGCCUGUGUCUUUCCCAAAGGACAGGUAGCGACCCUUGUCGGUCACAAAGACCAGCUUCCUCAGAUAGUACUUGUACUUCCCAGACACCUGGAUCACCGACUCCCCUGGGUGCAGAAAGAUCUCCUCCAGGUCUCCCAGCUUGCCACCCACGUAGUCGCUCCACACCUUGCCAUAGCGCACCUGGAGACUGGGGACGGGUGGGAGGGCAGGAACGGGGACACUGAUUAGGUCAUCAGAGUUCAGGACCGUUUGGCCUGCACGUGGAGUCCUCCAAACUGGACACUAGCAUGAGCAGUCCCUGCUAGUUCCCCCAAAAGUGUAGCCCGGGUGAGCCCUGGAGGACCACACAAAGAACUUCAGCUCCUGGCCUGGCUGACAGCAGGUGCAGAGAAGGAAGGCAGCUUGCCCAGAGUCGCCCACACACAGCACAUGGCAGGCCUUGAAUUUGGAGUCCAGCCUCCUACGAUGCCCCUCCCCCAUUCCCGCACUUGUGGAAGCAAAGGGAUUUUCUAACAGCUGAGUGGCUCCCUUGUGGGAGAGGGAAGAGGCUUGUCCCUGCUGUCCCAGGAGGCAGAUCCAGCAUUAGCGGACACACUUAGGCUCUGCACGUGAUAGAAUUUUCCGACUAGCAAUGGAGUGGGGACUGCUCAAGAGAGGCGUUGAGCAAAGUUGCAGGGCACCCAGCAGGGAUAUUGGAAAGAAACUUUAACCCGCAGAAGGCGGGUGGGCUGGGCUGGUCGACUUCCAGGCCCCUGAGAGUUAGUGGUUAUUAACGAUUUGCCACCAUCAGGCACAUUCGGGAAAGGAGGAGUUCAAAGGGCACAGAUCUAGAAGCCGAAUCCUCUCACAGCUAUCCCCAUAUCCUGCCUCACUAGGGACCAACAGGUUGAGCCACAGGUGGUCCAGAGUGAAAGAGCACUUCCUGAGUUCUAAGACCUUGGAGGAACGCGGAAGAGCCUUACCCCACGAUAUAGAGGCUGUUGACCCGGACACGGAUGGCUGUGAUGGGGCCUUCCAGCUGGAGGCCGGAGUGGGAGAAUCGCUCUCCUCCUCCACUUCCGUACUCGCCAUUGUAGGAGGAGGACCUGGCCUGGACUGCAGUGGAAAGAAAGGGGGGCUUGGAGGCAAGGACCUCCCAGUUCCCACUGCACAGGGUCAGCCCUGCAAGCCUUGGCCACCAGCCAAGCAGGGGACCCUUCCCGCCACCCGCCACCAGAGUCCCAGCGGCUCACUUACUGGCACUGGCAGAGGCCGAGGCACAGAGAAGGCCCAGGAGCAUGAAGGUCCACAUCGUGAGGCUGCAGGGGGGAAGAAGAGAGCAGAGGGGGAGGUUUCCCCCUUUCCCUCUGGCCUCCGGGUGGCCUGACCCUUCAGCUCCCACCUAGCCAGACCCAGGCUCAAGGU